GGUCUUGUAGUGUAGUGGUUAUCACUCGGGAUUUUGACUUAUGAAACCGAUUUCCCGGAACCCAGGUUCGAACCCUGGCAAGACCU